AUUGAACGCUGGCGGCAUGCCUUACACAUGCAAGUCGAACGGCAGCACGGGGCAACCUGGUGGCGAGUGGCGAACGGGUGAGUAAUGUAUCGGAACGUACCAUUGAGUGGGGGAUAACGUAGCGAAAGUUACGCUAAUACCGCAUAUUCUCUCCGGAGGAAAGCAGGGGACCGCAAGGCCUUGCGCUCUUUGAGCGGCCGAUAUCAGAUUAGCUAGUUGGUGAGGUAAAGGCUCACCAAGGCGACGAUCUGUAGCGGGUCUGAGAGGAUGAUCCGCCACACUGGAACUGAGACACGGUCCAGACUCCUACGGGAGGCAGCAGUGGGGAAUUUUGGACAAUGGGGGCAACCCUGAUCCAGCCAUGCCGCGUGAGUGAAGAAGGCCUUCGGGUUGUAAAGCUCUUUCGGCCGGGAAAAAAUCGCAUGGGCUAAUACCCUGUGUGGAUGAUGGUACCGGAAUAAGAAGCACCGGCUGACUACGUGCCAGCCGCCGCCGCAA
rnacentral:rRNA from 1 species